rnacentral:rRNA from 1 species
UACGGAGGGUGCAAGCAUUAAUCGGAUUUAUUGGGCGUAAAGGGCGCGUAGGCGGGGAUAAUAGUCAGAUGUGAAAUCCUGGGGCUCAACCUCAGAACUGCAUUUGAAACUGUAUCUCUAGAGGAUAGGCGGAGAAAACGGAAUUCCACAAGUAGCGGUGAAAUGCGUAGAUAUGUGGAAGAACACCGGUGGCGAAGGCGGUUUUCUAGCUUAUUCCUGACGCUGAGGCGCGAAAGCCAGGGGAGCAAACGGG